rnacentral:rRNA from 1 species
GGACUACUGGGGUAUCUAAUCCUGUUCGCUCCCCACGCUUUCGCUCCUCAGCGUCAGUAUCGGCCCAGAGACCCGCCUUCGCCACCGGUGUUCCUCCUGAUAUCUGCGCAUUUCACCGCUACACCAGGAAUUCCAGUCUCCCCUGCCGAACUCUAGUCUGCCCGUAUCGACUGCAAGCUCGGAGUUGAGCCCCGAGUUUUCACAGCCGACGCGACAGACCGCCUACGAGCUCUUUACGCCCAAUAAUUCCGGACAACGCUUGCACCCUACGUAUUACCGCGGCUGCUGGCAC